AGAUAGGACAACCAAAAUUUUAAAGUGCACAUGACUCGUAAGAACAACAAAAGAAAUAUAUGAGACUUAAUUGUUUCUUCAAAUGUACACCAUAUUACUUUAGAAUUGGUACUACCUAUGGAAAGAACAAUAAGAGCACUCAACUUAGACAAUGUUGAAGAGAGUUCUACCUCUUCCCGACCUAGAUGGUCUGGGCUUCGCAAUUGUCAUUUUCUUCGCGUUAGAGUUUGUGGUCCUCACGUUCCUCCUCAUUAUGAUAACACAAGUAUAUGCAAGAAUGAAUUUGAAGGGAAUUAUCAUGUUGCAUUAAAGGAGGAUCACUUUGAAUACUUUGAAGAUGAUGAUGCCAAUAUGGAUCUCCCCAAUGACUACUAAUGGUACACUAAUGGUUGACACUUAGUAAUGAAAAGUUUGGGAGCGUUUUAUGAUAGCUAGUAGACUAGAUAAAUGCAUGUCUUAGAUUUUUCCUUUUAGUAGUGCUAACUCAAAAGAUGUGACAUGUGAAUAUGACUAUGAUGUAAACAAGAUGUUUAACUUGGAGAUACAAUUUUGAAUUAGGAGAAGAUGGUAGUUGGACAAUAUUAUGAACUUGAAAAAAGAUGAAUACGGUUUUAGAAUUCUUGGUUACUUAAUUUUACAUAUUCUGCAAAGUGAAAGAUGAUGAUUAGUAACAACCUACGAUACUGACAAGAAUGCUAGGCAUUAUCACUAGAAAAUCAAGCAUACAAAUGUAACAUUAAUUCUGCAAAGUGAAAGAUGAUGAUUAGUAACAACCUACGAUACUGACAAGAAUGCUAGGCAUUAUCACUAGAAAAUCAAGCAUACAAAUGUAACAUUGUUUGAAAAAAUUGGAUAUAAAGGAUUAAGUUGAUGUAUUUUUGAACAUUUGGAGAGAGAUAAGGUCGUCCUUUUCAAAGUUAUUAGAUCAAAAUCAACAGUAAGAUUAACAUAAAAUGGUGUAUCCUAUAAUUUUGUAAUAGCGUUCUAGUUUUCCAUAUUCUUUAAAGGAAAACCCAGAAUUGAAAAAAUAUUAAUACACAAUUAUAAAAUAAUAAAGUUUAAAUUCAUGAACAUAUCUUAAUUUGAAUGAGACUAUUUGUAUUAUAUUUUUUAUGCUUUAAUUCGCUUUAUAUUAAUAUCACCUUAAGUCAAAAGUAAGGUUUGUGAAAUUAGAAAAACUAAAAGAAAAUUAAUUUAUUUUUUGAAAAGCAAAUAAACACAAACAAAACUAACUACGAAUCAUAAACAAAAAUCCCAAAAACUACAUUAAUCUAUCUAAAGAAUAUCCAAUAGAUUAGACCGAACAAAUCACUUCUAAGAUCUAAACUUAAUUAAAUAAAACAAAGUGUGAACAUAAUAACUAAAUUACAACUCAUAAAAUAUACUAGGACACUAUUCUUUUUAUAUUUUCUAAGCGUUUAAUA
rnacentral:lncRNA from 1 species